rnacentral:ribozyme from 1 species
UUCCCAACAACUCCUAUCCCUACCUCCUCGUGACACUCACUGGACCGCCAGCUACUUUAGACAAGAUCGGAUAACCCACCCUGACGGAUAAUUUGGCCGUUGGCUGACAGGGCAGG